UACAGAGGGUGCAAGCGUUAAUCGGAAUUACUGGGCGUAAAGGGCGCGUAGGCGGAUAAUUAAGUUAGGUGUGAAAUCCCUGGGCUUAACCUGGGAACUGCAUUUAAUACUGGUUAUCUAGAGUAGAGUAGAGGGAAGUGGAAUUUCCGGUGUAGCGGUGAAAUGCGUGGAGAUGGGGGAGAACACUCGUGGCGAAGGCGGCCAGCUAGACCAGUUCUGACACUGAGGCGCGACAGCGUGGGGAGCAAACAGG
rnacentral:rRNA from 1 species